rnacentral:SRP_RNA from 1 species
GGGUGUGAUGGUAUGUGCCUGCAAACCCUGCUAAUGGGAAGUCAAGACAGGUGAAUCACUGAUACCCAGAAGUUCGGAGCUGCAGUAGGUCUAAAGCCGAUUGGACAUUCGCACUAAGUCUGGUCCUAAUAUUGUAAGUCUCAGAGAACGUGUGGCUGCCAGGCUGCCAAAGGAGGAGGUGAACCAGUCCCGGCCAGGAAUAGAGCAGGUAAAAGCUUCUGCACUGAGAAGCAAUGAGAUCAGGCCUGUGAGUGGUCACUGCACUUCUAGCCUGGGUAAGACAGGGAGACCCAAUCUCA